UAGCUCAGUUGGUAGAGUGCUUGUCUUUCAUGCAUAAGUCCCUGGGUUCAAUCCCCAG
rnacentral:tRNA from 1 species